rnacentral:rRNA from 1 species
GAUGAACGCUAGCGGGAGGCCUAAUACAUGCAAGUCGAACGGUAACAGGUAGCAAUACGCUGACGAGUGGCGCACGGGUGCGUAACGCGUACACAAUCUGCCUUAUACUGGGGCAUAGCCUUUGGAAACGAAGAAUAAUUCCCCAUAACAUAUAGAAGAGGCAUCUCUUUUAUAUUAAAGCUCAGGCGGUAUAAGAUGAGUGUGCGUCCGAUUAGGUAGUUGGUGAGGUAACGGCUCACCAAGCCAACGAUCGGUAGCUGGUCUGAGAGGAUGAUCAGCCACACGGGCACUGAGACACGGGCCCGACUCCUACGGGAGGCAGCAGUAGGGAAUAUUGGACAAUGGGCGCAAGCCUGAUCCAGCCAUCCCGCGUGAAGGAUGAAGGUCCUCUGGAUUGUAAACUUCUUUUCUUCGGGAUAAAACUGGGGUUCUCCUCAGCUUGAAGGUACCGAAGGAAUAAGCACCGGCUAACUCCGUGCCAGCAGCCGCGGUAAA